AUGGGCUGCUCAAGCUGCCCUCAGAUCAAGUGUUGGAUUAUGCAUCAAUACUUCCUCACAAUCCAAACAGAUCUUGUAGAUGUAAGAAGAAGCAACAAAGAUUGUACAAAGAUACAGAGUUGCUCAGUGGUGGCAAUAUUUAAUAGGUUCAAUUCUGCCAGCGAUGUCAUCAAUGCAUUUAGAAGAGGGAGCUUGUUAUCCUCAUUGCAACUACAUCCUCCAAUACAAGCAAAAAUAAAUAAACACGAAAAGAAGCAUGGAAGUGAAGGAUCCAGAGAUAAGAACAAUGAACAACAGUUUUAA
rnacentral:rRNA from 1 species